rnacentral:lncRNA from 1 species
CCUGUUUUCCCAGUGCCAUCCCUGUUUUCCCAGUGCCAUCCCUGUUUUCCCAGGGCCAGCCAGGAGCAGUUCCUGGAGGUGGCCCAAGGCCAAAGAUCCCCGUGCAACCUCACCUUUGGCCAAUUCGCCUGUGCCCAGGGAACUUGGCUCCAGGACCUUCAGGAUGAUUUCCUCGUAUCCUUAUAUUCCUGCCUGGCUUCUAAACCUACCACAGCUGUGGAUCCAGAAUAUUCCAUCCUGUUCUUUUCCAAAUAUGAUGCCAGGAAGCUUUUGGACUCCCUGUCCUUGUUCAACCAGAGGGUGAGUAUUCCCUCAAAUGGAAUUCCCUCAAAUCCAGGGAAUUUUUGCUCUCUUUGCCCUCCAGGAAGAGGCAUCAUUCCAAAUCCCCUGAAAUUUUACUUUAUUUUGGAAAGAGCCCCAUUCCAACCAAUCUGUUCCUCGCAUUCAGAUUUGCUUAGAUUUACGUCCAUGCCUGCUCAGAAUUCCCUGGAAUUCACGGCUUUCUUCUCCUCUCCUGCUCCCAGUUUCCCCAGGUGCCCCUUUCCCUGGAGUGGAGCCUGAUUUUCAUGAAUGGUCUGUGGGAGAGGAUGCUCCGAGUGCCUGGAAUUGAGACCCCCCCAGUGCUGUUCCAGUGGGUCCAUCAGGGACUGGAGCCCUUCCUGGCGCAGCCCGAGGUCUUCGGCUGCCUCCGUGCCAAGGAUGUGUCCUGUGAGGAAUUCCAGCUGGUAGUGGCUGCCCUGGAUGGGAUCUAUUCCCAGCUUCCUGUGGAAGAGCAGAGGAAUCUUUACUCUGGGAUCAAGCACUUCCUCACCCAGGAUGAAUCCAGGCAGAAGUGCCACAGCCAGGCCAUUCCCGCUCUGAAUUCCACCGCCUGGUUUCGGAAUUAUCUGGGAUCCUUUCUGGAGCACGCCACUGUGGAGGACCUGCAGCUUUUUGGGGAUGAAGCAACAGUAAGUGGAGAGCCUGGGAGGUCACAGUCCUGCCCCGAGCAGAAUCAGAACCCCAGAAUGGUUUGGGUUGGAAGGAUUUAUGGAUCAUCCAUCCCACUAUCCCAGGCUGCUCCAAUCCCCGUCCAACCUGGCCCUGAAACUCCUGGAAUUCCUGCCAGCAGGAAUGUUUCUCUAGUUAAUUUGAGGUGAACAGUCACUGGGAUUAUUUCCCCCCAUCAUGUGAUAAGAGGGACUUGCACAGAAGUUGGUUUCACAAAGUUUCUGCAGGGAGCAGCGAGAGG